rnacentral:rRNA from 1 species
UACGUAGGGCGCGAGCGUUGUCCGGGAUUAUUGGGCGUAAAGAGCUCGUAGGCGGUUUGUCGCGUCUGCUGUGAAAACUGGGGGCUCAACCCCCAGCCUGCAGUGGGUACGGGCAGACUAGAGUGAUGUAGGGGAGACUGGAAUUCCUGGUGUAGCGGUGAAAUGCGCAGAUAUCAGGAGGAACACCGAUGGCGAAGGCAGGUCUCUGGGCCACUACUGACGCUGAGAAGCGAAAGCAUGGGGAGCGAACAGG